UGGUGGUAUUCACAAAACGAUGCCCAAUGUUUUGGUGACCACGUGGACCAGGCACUGACUUUAACCAUGCUCAUGAGGAAGUUUCUGAGAAUGGAAAGCUCAGGGCACCGAGGCUACCCUUCACACAGCCUCCAGCCACGUGAGGGACCACCACUGGGUUCCCAAAACCUCUUUUUGAGGAGAAAACCAUUUCCUUGCACUCUGCUCUGGUGAGCCUGCACCUUGAGCACUGUGCUCAGCUUUGGGCCCCUCACUGCAAGAAGGACAUUGAGGCCCUGGAGCAUAUACAGAGAAGGGCUAGGAAGCUGGUGAAGGGCCUGGACCACAAGUCCUGUGAGGAGCGGCUGAGGGAGCUGGGGGUGCUUGGUCUGGAGGAGGCUCAGGGGAGACCUCAUUGCCCUCUGCAGCUACCUUAAAGGAAGGUGUGGGGUGCUGGGGGUCAGCCUCUUCUCGCAGGUAGCUGGUGAUAGGACUAGAGGGAGCGGCCUCAAGUUGCACCAGGGGAGGUUCAGGCUGGCAAUGAGGAGACAUUUCUGCUCAGGAAGAGCAGUCAGGCCCGGGACAGGUUGCCCAGGGAGGUGGUGGAGUCACCGUCCCUGGGGGUGUUCAAGGAGAGGCUGGACGCGGUGCUUGGGGACACGGUGUAGUGGGUGACACUGGUGGUAAGGGCUGGUUGGAGCAGACGACCUUGGAGCUCUAUCGCUUUAACACUUUAUUUUCACUGAGCUCCCCCAGCCCCACGGCCGUAUUUUUUUAUUUUUAUUUAUUUUUUUUUUUUAAGCGCGCGCCUCCCCGCCCCUCCCCUCCCUCUCUCGCGAUGCCGGGCGCCAUGCCGGAGCCGGGCGGGCGCAGGCCGGGCCCCUCCCCUCGCCGCGCGGCCUCAGCGCCGCGCACUGAGCGUGCGGCGCCGCCCGCAGCCCGGAAGCGCUUCGCGGCCGCUGCUCCAGGCCCCCCCCUUCCCCCUUCCCUUCCCUCCCUCCCCCCCCUCCCCGCUCGGUAGACCCGGAGCGCGCCCCCCGCCCCCCCCGCAACCGCCUCCAGCGGCCGGCGCCUGCCGCCCCCUCCUCUUUUUCCAACGGCCGCCGUGGCGGAGGCCCGGCGGGGCGCCCAGGGGCCGGGCAUGCGGCCGGCGGCGGCGGAGCCGAGCCCCCAGCGCAGCACGUGCAAUGAAGUUUGAGAUGUCAGAAUACAGACUUAACUGCAGUCUACCUCUUUGCUUUUGAAGCCCUUGCUGGAUACAGUAAAUGCUACUUCUGCUUCAGAGAAAUUCCAAGUCAACUAAGUGUUCUACCUGCUAGUCCUUUUUAAGGCUUGGGAGUUGAGGUACACAAGGCUGAAGGGAGCAUUAGGCCUAAGAGACCUGACUCAGAUCAGGUUCUUUAUCUGUCUUUAGAAAAGACCGUCUAUUGUAUUUUAAAGAGAGAGGAGAGAAAAUAAAGGGUCAGCAAAGUUUAGUGUUGAAACA
rnacentral:lncRNA from 1 species